UUUACAGAUGCAUAUUUGAACAUGGGAAACGUGUAUAAGGCUCUGGGAAUGCCACAGGAGGCUAUUAUGUGUUACCAGCGUGCUCUCCUUGUGCGACCAGA